GACAGAGGCCUCGAGCGUUAGGCGGAAUCACUGGGCUUAAAGCGUGUGUAGGCGGAUCGUUAAGUGCCUUGUGAAAUCCCACGGCUUAACUGUGGAACGGCUGGGCAUACUGGCGGUCUUGAGCCAUCUAGGGGCGACUGGAACAAACGGUGGAGCGGUGAAAUGCGUAGAUAUCGUUUGGUACGCCAAUGGUGAAAACAGGUCGCUGGGGAUGAGCUGACGCUGAGACACGAAAGCCAGGGGAGCAAACGGG
rnacentral:rRNA from 1 species